AGACCCGAAACCCGGUGAUCUAGCCAUGGGCAGGUUGAAGGUUGGGUAACACUAACUGGAGGACCGAACCGACUAAUGUUGAAAAAUUAGCGGAUGACCUGUGGCUGGGGGUGAAAGGCCAAUCAAACCGGGAGAUAGCUGGUUCUCCCCGAAAGCUAUUUAGGUAGCGCCUCGUGAAUUCAUCUCCGGGGGUAGAGCACUGUUUCGGCUAGGGGGCCAUCCCGGCUUACCAACCCGAUGCAAACUGCGAAUACCGGAGAAUGUUAUCACGGGAGACACACGGCGGGUGCUAACGUCCGUCGUGAAGAGGGAAACAACCCAGACCGCCAGCUAAGGUCCCAAAGUCAUGGUUAAGUGGGAAACGAUGUGGGAAGGCCCAGACAGCCAGGAUGUUGGCUUAGAAGCAGCCAUCAUUUAAAGAAAGCGUAAUAGCUCACUGGUCGAGUCGGCCUGCGCGGAAGAUGUAACGGGGCUAAACCAUGCACCGAAGCUGCGGCAGCGACACUGUGUGUUGUUGGGUAGGGGAGCGUUCUGUAAGCCUGCGAAGGUGGCCUGUGAGGGUUGCUGGAGGUAUCAGAAGUGCGAAUGCUGACAUAAGUAACGAUAAAGCGGGUGAAAAGCCCGCUCGCCGGAAGACCAAGGGUUCCUGUCCAACGUUAAUCGGGGCAGGGUGAGUCGACCCCUAAGGCGAGGCCGAAAGGCGUAGUCGAUGGGAAACGGGUUAAUAUUCCCGUACUUGGUGUUACUGCGAAGGGGGGACGGAGAAGGCUAUGUUGGCCGGGCGACGGUUGUCCCGGUUUAAGCGUGUAGGCUGGUUUUCCAGGCAAAUCCGGAAAAUCAAGGCUGAGGCGUGACGACGAGGCACUACGGUGCUGAAGCAACAAAUGCCCUGCUUCCAGGAAAAGCCUCUAAGCAUCAGGUAACAUCAAAUCGUACCCCAAACCGACACAGGUGGUCAGGUAGAGAAUACCAAGGCGCUUGAGAGAACUCGGGUGAAGGAACUAGGCAAAAUGGUGCCGUAACUUCGGGAGAAGGCACGCUGACAUGUAGGUGAAGUGAUUUACUCAUGGAGCUGAAGUCAGUCGAAGAUACCAGCUGGCUGCAACUGUUUAUUAAAAACACAGCACUGUGCAAACACGAAAGUGGACGUAUACGGUGUGACGCCUGCCCGGUGCCGGAAGGUUAAUUGAUGGGGUCAGCGCAAGCGAAGCUCCUGAUCGAAGCCCCGGUAAACGGCGGCCGUAACUAUAACGGUCCUAAGGUAGCGAAAUUCCUUGUCGGGUAAGUUCCGACCUGCACGAAUGGCGUAAUGAUGGCCAGGCUGUCUCCACCCGAGACUCAGUGAAAUUGAACUCGCUGUGAAGAUGCAGUGUACCCGCGGCAAGACGGAAAGACCCCGUGAACCUUUACUAUAGCUUGACACUGAACAUUGAGCCUUGAUGUGUAGGAUAGGUGGGAGGCUUUGAAGCGUGGACGCCAGUCUGC
rnacentral:rRNA from 1 species